CCUAAUUUUAUUCCAGUCACGCGGAAUGAGCGAUUAUACAAAUAUUUACUGUGUUGAGGGGCAUAGUCCGAAAGAGCCAACCAUUGUUCAACACCUUGUUACUUCCUCCUUUCUCUCUUAUUUCUACGCCACAAAAAGCACAAAUCGACACUAACAGUAGACCUCAAAUCAGCGAAGGCUAUUUGGUUUCUAAAAUCGACCGAUCUCACUCAUCUAUACGUCACAACUGUAUACGAAAGUAACGAAGCAUUCUGGUGAACAUGGAGUAUUUACCUAGGGAACAAAACAAAUUAGUACAGGCUAUAGUGAGAAAUGACUGGCCAGCAGUAAGAAACAUCCUGGAAAAUGAACCGCACCUUAAUGAAAAUGUGGAUGAU